UUUCUUUUCUCUCCGGGGGGGGGGGCGCCAGUAGGGAUCUUCCGCCAUCGACGAAAGUCUGACGAGCACGCCGCGUGAGUGAUGAUGUUUUCGGAUCGUAAGCUCUGUGUUAGGGAAGAACAAGUGCCGUUCAAAUAGGGCGGCACCUUGACGGUACCUAACCAGAAAGCCCACGGCUAACUACGUGCCAGCAGCCGCGGUAAUACGUAGGUGGCAAGCGUUGUCCGGAAUUAUUGGGCGUAAAGGGCUCGCAGGCGGUUUCUUAAGUCUGAUGUGAAAGCCCCCGGCUCAACCGGGGAGGGUCAUUGGAAACUGGGGAACUUGAGUGCAGAAGAGGAGAGUGGAAUUCCACGUGUAGCGGUGAAAUGCGUAGAGAUGUGGAGGAACACCAGUGGCGAAGGCGACUCUCUGGUCUGUAACUGACGCUGAGGAGCGAAAGCGUGGGGAGCGAACAGGAUUAGAUACCCUGGUAGUCCACGCCGUAAACGAUGAGUGCUAAGUGUUAGGGGGUUUCCGCCCCUUAGUGCUGCAGCUAACGCAUUAAGCACUCCGCCUGGGGAGUACGGUCGCAAGACUGAAACUCAAAGGAAUUGACGGGGGCCCGCACAAGCGGUGGAGCAUGUGGUUUAAUUCGAAGCAACGCGAAGAACCUUACCAGGUCUUGACAUCCUCUGACAAUCCUAGAGAUAGGACGUCCCCUUCGGGGGCAGAGUGACAGGUGGUGCAUGGUUGUCGUCAGCUCGUGUCGUGAGAUGUUGGGUUAAGUCCCGCAACGAGCGCAACCCUUGAUCUUAGUUGCCAGCAUUCAGUUGGGCACUCUAAGGUGACUGCCGGUGACAAACCGGAGGAAGGUGGGGAUGACGUCAAAUCAUCAUGCCCCUUAUGACCUGGGCUACACACGUGCUACAAUGGACAGAACAAAGGGCAGCGAAACCGCGAGGUUAAGCCAAUCCCACAAAUCUGUUCUCAGUUCGGAUCGCAGUCUGCAACUCGACUGCGUGAAGCUGGAAUCGCUAGUAAUCGCGGAUCAGCAUGCCGCGAUCGAA
rnacentral:rRNA from 1 species